UACGUAGGGUGCAAGCGUUAAUCGGAAUUACUGGGCGUAAAGCGUGCGCAGGCGGUUUGUAAGUUUGUCGUGAAAUCCCCGGGCUCAACCUGGGAAUUGCGUUGGAGACUGCAAGGCUGGAGUCUGGCAGAGGGGGGUAGAAUUCCACGUGUAGCAGUGAAAUGCGCAGAUAUCAGGAAGAACACCAAUGGCGAAAGCAGCUCUCUGGGACGGUACUGACGCUGAGACGCGAAAGCGUGGGGAGCAAACAGGG
rnacentral:rRNA from 1 species